rnacentral:rRNA from 1 species
GAUGAACGCUGGCGGCGUGCCUAAUACAUGCAAGUCGAGCGAACAGAUAAGGAGCUUGCUCCUUUGACGUUAGCGGCGGACGGGUGAGUAACACGUGGUUAACCUACCUAUAAGACUGGGAUAACUUCGGGAAACCGGAGCUAAUACCGGAUAAUAUUUCGAACCGCAUGGUUCGAUAGUGAAAGAUGGUUUUGCUAUCACUUAUAGAUGGACCCGCGCCGUAUUAGCUAGUUGGUAAGGUAACGGCUUACCAAGGCGACGAUACGUAGCCGACCUGAGAGGGUGAUAGGCCACACUGGAACUGAGACACGGUCCAGACUCCUAAGGGAGGCAGCAGUAGGGAAUCUUCCGCAAUGGGCGAAAGCCUGACGGAGCAACGCCGCGUGAGUGAUGAAGGUCUUCGGAUCGUAAAACUCUGUUAUUAGGGAAGAACAUAUGUGUAAGUAACUGUGCACGUCUUGACGGUACCUAAUCAGAAAGCCACGGCUAACUACGUG